GACGAACGCUGGCGGCGUGCUUAACACAUGCAAGUCGAGCGGUAAGGCCCUUCGGGGUACACGAGCGGCGAACGGGUGAGUAACACGUGGGUGACCUGCCCUUAGCUCUGGGAUAAGCCUGGGAAACUGGGUCUAAUACCGGAUAUGACCUCAUGACGCAUGUUGUGGGGUGGAAAGCCUUGUGCGGCUAGGGAUGGGCCCGCGGCCUAUCAGCUUGUUGGUGGGGUGAUGGCCUACCAAGGCGACGACGGGUAGCCGGCCUGAGAGGGCGACCGGCCACACUGGGACUGAGACACGGCCCAGACUCCUACGGGAGGCAGCAGUGGGGAAUCUUGCGCAAUGGGCGAAAGCCUGACGCAGCGACGCCGCGUGAGGGAUGAC
rnacentral:rRNA from 1 species